rnacentral:rRNA from 1 species
AUUGAACGCUGGCGGCAGGCCUAACACAUGCAAGUCGAGCGAGCGGCGGACGGGUGAGUAAUGUAUGGGGACUGCCCGAUAGAGGGGGAUAACUACUGGAAACGGUGGAUACUACCGCAUACUAUCGGAUAACCCAUAUGGGAUGAGCUAGUAGGUGGGGUAAAGGCGCACCUAGGCGACGAGCUCUAGCUGGUCUGAGAGGAUGAUCAGCCAGACUGGGACGAUGACAGGGCCCAGACGCCUACGGAGUAAGCAUUGGGGAAUAUUUCACAAUGGGCGCAAGCCUGAUGCAGCCAUGCCGUGUGUAUGAAGAAGGCCUUAGGGUUGUAAAGUACUUUCAGCGGGGAGGCGUUACCCGCAGAAGAAGCACCGGCUAACUCCGUGCCAGCAGCCGCGGUAAUUC